UGAACUGCUCACGCUAACGAGCUCCACCUGCCCGGGUUUAUUGUUCGGAGUUUGCUCUCCUAGGUGAACUGCUCACGCUAACGAGCUCCACCUGCCCGGGUUUAUUGUUCGGAGUUUGCUCUCCUAGGUGAACUGCUCACGCUAACGAGCUCCACCUGCCCGGGUUUAUUGUUCGGAGUUUGCUCUCCUAGGUGAACUGCUCACGCUAACGAGCUCCACCUGCCCGGGUUUGUUGUUCGGAGUUUGCUCUCCUAGGUGAACUGCCUACCACGGCUAACGACCUCCACCUGCCCGGGUUUGUUUAGAGUUUGCUCUCCUAGGUGAAUUGCCUACCACGGCUAACGACCUCCACCUGCCCGGGUUUAUUGUUCGGAGUUUGCUCUCCUAGGCAGAUUGCCUACCACGGCUAACGAGCUCCACCUGCCCGGGUUUGUAGCCGGAAGAUCUCCGGCACCUCCGUCGGGGCCCCGAGGGACGCCGAGGAGCCCUGCCUGGAGCCCUCCAGUCCUGCCAUGCUCGCCAGGGAGACCUUGGGCUCGCUGGCGCUCCACACCCCCGCCGAGGCGAGGAUGCAAGAACUCGCUUCUUAAAACUACCAGACUGGAUUAUAAAAUUAAUCAUAAUUACUGUGAAGGCGCCGGUCACCGCGUUUAUCGGUUCAGGGAUGGAAGACCGACGGGCCUGGGAAACGCGCACAAGCAUCCAAAGGAA